rnacentral:rRNA from 1 species
GAUGAACGCUGGCGGCGUGCCUAAUACAUGCAAGUCGAGCGAACAGACGAGGAGCUUGCUCCUUUGACGUUAGCGGCGGACGGGUGAGUAACACGUGGGUAACCUACCUAUAAGACUGGGAUAACUUCGGGAAACCGGAGCUAAUACCGGAUAAUAUUUCGAACCGCAUGGUUCGAUAGUGAAAGAUGGCUUUGCUAUCACUUAUAGAUGGACCUGCGCCGUAUUAGCUAGUUGGUAAGGUAACGGCUUACCAAGGCAACGAUACGUAGCCGACCUGAGAGGGUGAUCGGCCACACUGGAACUGAGAUACGGUCCAGACUCCUACGGGAGGCAGCAGUAGGGAAUCUUCCGCAAUGGGCGAAAGCCUGACGGAGCAACGCCGCGUGAGUGAUGAAGGUCUUCGGAUCGUAAAACUCUGUUAUUAGGGAAGAAUAAACGUGUAAGUAACUGUGCACGUCUUGACGGUACCUAAUCAGAAAGCCACGGCUAACUACGUG